AUUGAACGCUGGCGGCAGGCUUAACACAUGCAAGUCGAGCGGAGAUGAGGUGCUUGCACCUUAUCUUAGCGGCGGACGGGUGAGUAAUGCUUAGGAAUCUGCCUAUUAGUGGGGGACAACAUUCCGAAAGGAAUGCUAAUACCGCAUACGUCCUACGGGAGAAAGCAGGGGAUCUUCGGACCUUGCGCUAAUAGAUGAGCCUAAGUCGGAUUAGCUAGUUGGUGGGGUAAAGGCCUACCCAGGCGAAGAUCUGUAGCGGGUCUGAGAGGAUGGUCCGCCACACUGGGACUGAGACACGGCCCAGACUCCUACGGGAGGCAGCAGUGGGGAAUAUUGGACAAUGGGGGGAACCCUGAUCCAGCCAUGCCGCGUGUGUGAAGAAGGCCUUAUGGUUGUAAAUCACUUUAAGCGAGGAGGAGGCUACUGAGACUAAUACUCUUGGAUAGUGGACGUUACUCGCAGAAUAAGCACCGGCUAACUCUGUGCCAGCAGCCGCUGUAAAAC
rnacentral:rRNA from 1 species